ensembl:ncRNA K10C2.10 ncRNA
UUUCAGUUGGAAAAGUUGAAAAUUGCAUCUUUACGAUUGUUCGACUUGCAAUUUAUCACGCCUGCGAUAAACUCAUUGGUA